GUCAGGAUGGCCGAGUGGUCUAAGGCGCCAGACUCAAGGUGCGUACCUUGCUUGUGAGCAUUCUGGUCUCCGAAUGGAGGCGUGGGUUCGAAUCCCACUUCUGACA
rfam:Loxodonta africana unplaced genomic scaffold scaffold_1, whole genome shotgun sequence.